rnacentral:tRNA from 1 species
GCCCGGAUAGCUCAGUUGGAUAGAGCAGCGCUUUCCUAAAGCGCAGGUCGCAGGUUCGAGCCCUGCUCCGGGUG